rnacentral:rRNA from 1 species
AGCUCCAAUAGCGUAUAUUAAAAUUGUUGCGGUUAAAACGCUCGUAGUUGGAUAUUUGUUGAGGAUUGCCGGUCCAUCCUUAGUGGUGCGCACUCGGUGCGUCCUCGGCAUUUUCCUGGGGAACGUGUUCGCACUUCAUUGUGUGGCACAUGAUCCAGAACUUUUACUUUGAGGAAAUGAGAGUGUUUCAAGCAGGCGUCAGUCGUGAAUACGUUAGCAUGGAAUAAUAGCAUAGGACCCCGUUCCGAAGCUGUUGGUUUUUGGGACGAGGUAAUAACAAUAGGGAUAGUUGGGGGCAUUCGUAUUUAACUGUCAGAGGUGAAAUUCUUGGAUUUUUUAAAGACGGACUACUGCGAAAGCAUCUGCCCAGGAUGUUUUUAUUGAUCAAGAACGAAA